GGCGAACGCUGGCGGCGUGCCUAAUACAUGCAAGUCGAGCGGACCGGAUUGGGGCUUGCCUUGAUUCGGUCAGCGGCGGACGGGUGAGUAACACGUGGGCAACCUGCCCGCAAGACCGGGAUAACUCCGGGAAACCGGAGCUAAUACCGGAUAACACCGAAGACCGCAUGGUCUUCGGUUGAAAGGCGGCCUUUGGGCUGUCACUUGCGGAUGGGCCCGCGGCGCAUUAGCUAGUUGGUGAGGUAACGGCUCACCAAGGCGACGAUGCGUAGCCGGCCUGAGAGGGUGAACGGCCACACUGGGACGGAGACACGGCCCAGAAUCCUACGGGAGGCAGCAGUAGGGAAUCUUCCGCAAUGGGCGAAAGCCUGACGGAGCGACGCCGCGUGAGCGAAGAAGGCCUUCGGGUCGUAAAGCUCUGUUGUGAGGGACGAAGGAGCGUCGUUCGAAGAGGGCGGCGCGGUGACGGUACCUCACGAGAAAGCCCCGGCUAACUACGUG
rnacentral:rRNA from 1 species